GCCGCCGCCCGUGCUCCUUCAUUAGCCAUUGUUUUCUUUUUUUUCUUGUUCGUUCCUGGUAUUGUUGAUGCGAUGAAGAGCUAGUUUCUAUUGAUCCGCCGUCUUCAAUGGCGGCGGCGUGAUGCUCACCUUUACUACUGAUCUUGGAUGGCAAUGCCCAGCUCAUGGUUGGCCUCAUCAACAUUGUUGUGCAUACGCUAGAUUGAUCCAACGAUGUAUUAAGAAGGUACACAAUUGGCAACUGAAGCUUAAUAACAUUUUCAUGAAUAUGAACAGACAUUUUUUAUCCAAAAAACAAUGAACAUGCUGACCCUGGUCUACUAACCCAAAGGCUUCCUGAUGGCCCUACAAUGGCAAUGGAGGUGUUGUGUUGCUAAAUUUUAUAUUUUGGUCAGUUCAAUAUUUUGGUCAGUUCAAUAUUUUGGUUAGUUCAGUAUGUGAAACAAAUCACUGCACGGUGCCUACAGAGCUUCAACAUUAGCAUACAGAGAAGAUUGAUUCAAAGACGCCAUCUGUUUACAUCAUUUGCAACUGAAGCUUAGUCUGUUGCUACAUCUGUGCAAAUGUUCUGGGGACAAUUUCUUUUUGAUAUUUUUUUCUUGUACUGGAUCUAAUGCUUAAAGCUGUCCGAUGAUGAUCAAACUAAAUACUUUCGUUCUUCUGAUGUGCUAUCUCAUGGCGCGUUGUGGAAGCAAUUUGGAGACCUGAACUGAGGAAAUGCAUUUUUUCCAUGUUUUUUUACUUGUAGUUUGCGAUGGAAAACAUGUUUUUGUGUUUGUUGCUUCACAACUGGAAGGAUGGCCUGUUGAUAACAGUUUGGUCAUCCUGUAGAGGGAAGCAUAGAUGAACGGAAACACCGGCCAGCAUUAAACAGCAUGAUGCUCUAUUAAACCGCGUCAUGUUACCUGUCUUCUGGCACAUUUCUAACAUACAUAGUGCAUAUUUUUAUUUUUUGAGAUUUUAGCUCCUGAUUCUGCAGCUUGUUAAUUUGGUGGAAGAAAGCCAGCAUUGCAUGUGCUUCGGAGGAUUGAACUUGCAGGAAGCUCAGUCAGUUUUGUUCGGUGACGAUCAAACUAAAUACUUGUCUUCUAAAGUUCUGAUGCGCUAUCUCAUAGCUCAGUUCGGAAGAACACCUAUGUUUCAACCUCAUUAUGCCUACCACAGAUCAUCAUUGCCAAAUCAAACGAAGUUACAUGAUUGACAAAGCAGUUUACAUGAUUUUAGCCGAGUCCACUGUACUUGAUCUUUGAGUGACCAAACAACUUACACAUCUUUGUUGAGAAAACCCUUGAGUGACCACUGUACUAGUCGUGGCAUGAGGUCUUGAUUAUUUGUGCAAUGAUGAUACUAUUACCCAGCUCAUUAUGAGACCUCCCUUUGUGGGCAGUCGUGAUAUGAACUUCUCUUUUGUAUCUGAGCCCACUCACAUUUUUCUUACCCUACACAGAGCCCGUGUGGGCUGCCUCCUGCUCACGUGCUCACGUCACACACGGUGUGUGGGCGGAUGUCUAGUAUGCCACACGCGUGGGCGGACCCUUUUCUUACAAUUUCUUCAGUACAGUUCGGUACAUGAAGGCUAGUUUUUUGGAAAAUAAACACAGCUAGACUGUUACUGCUGCAGUGAUGAUACAACAUAAUCCUUGUCUCCAUUUUCUAACAUUCUCAGUUGAAAUAACUGGACGAGCAAAUGAUGCAGGCACCCUCUUUGUCCGAUUACAAUGGCAAUGGAGGUGUUGUGUUGCUUAAUUUGAUAUUCUUUUGGUUUAUCAUUGUUUGGUCAGAUCAAUAUGCGAAAGAAAUCACUGCAUGGUGCCUACAGAGCUACAACAUUAAGCAUAUAGCAAGAUUGAUUUUUUGUUUUUGUUUUGUACUGGAUCUAAUGCUUAAAGCUGUCUGAUGAUGAUCAAACUAAAUACUUUCAUUCUUCUGACACGCUGUCUCAUGGCUCGGUGCGGAAGCGAUUUGGAGACCUGAACUGAGGAAAAACUGUAUGUAAAAACAGUUUUUGUUAAAAUUCUAUAUUUUUAAUCGUAGUGUUGCAAAUCGAAAUGAUUUUCUUUCUUGUUGUACUUUUUUUGCUUUAUUUUUUCUUGGCAUACGCUCCUUCACAUCUGGAAAAAUGCCCCGAUGUAUACAGUAUUUUUUUAAACUACUAACCAAUAAAACAGAGUUCGGAACCUGCUAGAAAAACCAGGACAUGAUACGUUUCCUGGAAACUUAGAAAUAACAUCACAUAAAAAAUAAUAUACAAAUAAGUCAGUUUCU